CAAACUAUGAUACAUGUGAAGUUAUUAUCAUUCUACGCUCUCUCACCUUUCCAGAAAACAAAAACCGCUGAAGAAGGGAGAAAUAAGAAGAUUCACAGCAGAAGAAGAAUGCCUGGAAGGAAGAAGAAUGUAACAUAGGUUGAAGAAAUGGAGGCCAAAGAUCAACAGGUUUUGUUCUUUUUUCGUUCAUAGGAAAGUAAAAGAUCACUUUUUGUAGGUGUAUAGAACGCCCGGAAGGAAGAAGAAUGUAACAUAGUUUUAUGAAUGCACACCAUGUGCUUGACAAAAUGUUCUUUCCAGUUGCAGGUGAAAUUUUUUACUAUUAAUGAAAGGUUAACAGCAUAAUAUAGACUAUAAUUGACAGCAUACCGAUGAUGCUUCUUGCAGUAGAGAUAAUAGCAAAUAGUUCUACCAUAAGUUUAAGGAAUAACAUUAAAAUAUAGUUUGUCUUAAGUAUCCAAAAGGCAGCAUAGUUUAUUUGUGAACAUAUGUUAUAAUUAAAAUGAAGUUUGUUCCACUUUACCUAAGUUUUAUUAUGAGUUUGCUUUGGUUUGUGAAAUCUCUUUUCAUUGAUUUUGUCUCUCAUAUUUUGUUAUAAUUUUUUCUGUUUUUCACCUCCAUUUUGUUUUGUAUGUUGGAGAUUGAAGUUUAAGUGCAUUGAUUAUAUUGAUUUCCCAAUAUUAUAACAUGUUCUUUUUAUGACUAUUGAAUUAUGAGUACUUUGCUAAACUCAUUGAUUAUUAUUGUGAAUUUUGUUUGUUAACAUUUUUAAAUUUUUUGCAAGGAAAUUGAUUAUCAUUGCUAACAAUUGGCCACCAUUGAGGGAAGAAAAAUGCAAGGUGCUAAGAUAAGCACAAUGCAAGGUAUUAGUAUGUAAUGUAAAACUUUCAAAGAGCUAAAUUGAGAAAAUUCUUAGUUUGGUUAAUUUUGAUUGUCAGCUGCUUACUUCUUUCACUUUUUAUUUUCUUCUAACACCAUCUCCACUGUUUUGUCUCACAUCUUAUUUCCCUUUGACGUGAUCAACAUUUGUACUUUCUAUGGAACCCAAACUUGGCAAGAUACUUAUAUUAGGUUUUCACCUCAUUGUUGUAUUAGUUGUUCUCUGAUAUUUGCUUCAUUUUUUUCUGCUUUGUUAUUAGUUGUUCUAUGAUUUUUUUUUUCUGCUUCAAACUGAACUUUUUUAUAUCUAUUGGAAGUUUGAAAGAAACUGAACUUUUUGGUUAGAUACAUAACAAAUUAAGAACAUAUAAUGAACCCUUUUUUCAUGUUUACAUUUAUUUUCAAAUUAAAAGUUCACUUAUUGCAGCAUAGGAAAGUAAAAGUUCACUUUUUGUAGGUAUAUGAGCAUCUGUAUAUGCAAGUUUAACCCAACAACUAACCUUUUCAAGUAUAAAAGUUCACUUUUUGGAGAUAAGGCUGAUGUUUAGCAGAAUGAAAAGAAUGACAUUAAAGAACCAGUUAUUGCUAAAAAUACUGUGUUUUUAUCAAUAAAAACAACUUCACUUUCGUAUUUGUGUUUUAUUACAUUGUUUAAUGUUAGUGUCUUUUGUUAGUUCUCCAUAAUAUGUUGGAUGUGGUGUGCAGGUACACUAUAUUUGCCUUUCAAAUGGGAUUUUAAUGGGUUUAUAAAUGUAGGUUUAAGCACUUUAUUUUGUAGAAGGAGAAUUUGGAGAGCAAAUAUUACUGGUAGCCAUCUUUUUGUAGACUACUUUCUCUUCUCUCUUCUCUGCAUCAUUUGUACUUCUUUAGUUUUACAAACACAGUUCCAAAUAGCACUACUUCUAUGUCAACACAAUUCUACACCCAAAGUUCAGCUGGCUCUCAAUAUAAAGCCGAUGACAAUUUCAUGAAGCAAGCUCACGUUAUGAAUGUAAAAAGGGCAAUCAGACAAAUGAUCCUCUCAUUAAGUAAGCAUUUUCAAUAUCAAUGAAUUGUCUCAUGUUUGAACUGAUAAGCAUUUUCUAUACGACUAUACCUCAUGUUUAUCAUUAUGGAGAUUUCAAAAGUUCAGGCAUAACUGAUUUUCUAUACAUAUAGUUAAUUUCCAAUUGGUAAAUUUUUGAAAUAUAUAGGUUCACAUAACUGAUUUGUACUUUGAUUUUCUAUACAUUAUGUUUUCUCAGACAUGAUACACGUGAUAAACCAAUACCAUGUAAUGCUUGGAUAGUCCAUUUCACAAAUUACAUUGCAUAGACAAGUACCUCUACUAGAAUGCGAGGAAAAAACUAAAUCAGAUCAAUUUUACCUGCCAAGUACCAAGAGUGUAUUGCAAGGCUUCCAAAUGACGUGAUAUUGGUAAGGGAAGAUAAUCCAUGAAUCAUACCAAACUUCUUAUUCAUCGCUGCAAGCUUUGGGUUUUUCUUUGCCACUUCGACAUUUUUUGACCACCCAACUUCCUGUCCAAUGUUAUUCUCUCUCCACUAUAUUUCUUAUACCUUUAUGUUUAUGGAGAUUUGUUUUCAAGAGGUUGGUUAUUGAUUAUUUACCUAAUCUUUAUUUUGAACUUGAAGCUUGCUAGCUCUUCCAUGGAAGCAUAAUGCAAGGUGUUAAUAUGUAAUGUAAAUAGAGAAAAAUCUUAGUUUAGUUGAUUUUGAUUGUCAGCUACUUACUUCAUUCCAUUUUUUUUACUACAAUGAAUUUGUAUGAAAUUUGGAUUUAUCCCUCUUUUAUGUUUAUGUCUGUCUUAUGUUUGAUUAUAAUUCUCUUUUUAGCUCAUUACAUAUGCUUGAUUAAAGUACCAUGAUGUGAAUAGUUUAAUCCACUGGCUGCUUUACUGGCAGUGGAGACUUAUUUGAGAAACCUGCAAAACAUGGUAUAUGUUUGUACUAAUAUAGGUAGCAGUUUCACUCAUGAUUUUUUUUCUCUGAGCUCUUUCAUUCAUAUCAGGUAUCAUUGUGAGAAAUUUUCAUUUCUUCUUCCUUUUAAUCCUGUCUUUAACUCACCUUCCUUCCAUUUUUACUUAUCUUCAUUACAGAUUAAUGGGAAAAGGGAAAACGACUGACAUCACUCUCUCUGCUUCAUCAACACUAAAGAAAAAUGUUGAAACUUCAGUAUCACAACAUCAACUAAAGAGAGUUCAUGCAAAGACAUUGAAACCAUUGUUGAAGGAGAGGAACAAGUUCUUCCAAUUACUGUUUCACCUCAAAUUCAGGGUGGAUUUAACCCGUGUCAUUGGAUGGAAAAGAAUAGGGGAAGACAAUCAAUCAAGUCCACUUCCAAGCCAGUUGCCGAAGCAGGAAAGAUGAUGUAACUAAUUUGAUGAGAGACAUUCAAAAAUACUGUUUUCAGACUUUCACACAAGAUGAUCUUGACAAGUCUGCUUCCCUAGAUGAUUCAAUUCUCUCCACUCCAAUUUCUUCCGCUUCUGCCAAGAAUGACAUAUCUCCUGCUUCUCACAAAACACCAGCCAAAAGGAGUGUUGGAAAGCAUCAACCACUUGAGAAUACCCACCUUGAUUCGCAGUUCUCAAUGAGAACUUCUCAUCAACCAGAUCUGACAAGCUCAUUAAGAAGUAGAAGAUCUAAUGGCCUACGAUAUUUUUGUUUCAACAUAUUUGUGAAAAUAGGUUCAUAUAUUGAACAUGUUGAUGUUGUCCAAGCUUAUAAGCAUGAAUGGCCCUUACUAAAGCAUGAAUGGUCCUUACAAGGGAAAAAUAAAUAAUAAUAAUGGUGAAAAUAGGUUCACUUGCCGUAAAAGAAAAAGUAAUAAAACAAGUACUUUUAUUUUUUUUUUUUUUAUUUU